rnacentral:rRNA from 1 species
UGGCGGACGGGUGAGUAACGCGUGGAAAACCUGCCGUAUACUGGGGGAUAACACUUAGAAAUAGGUGCUAAUACCGCAUAAGCGCACAGCUUCGCAUGAAGCGGUGUAGAAAAACUCUGGUGGUAUACGAUGGUUCCGCGUCUGAUUAGCUAGUUGGUGGGGUAAUGGCCUACCAAGGCAACGAUCAGUAGCCGGCCUGAGAGGGUGAACCGGCCACAUUGGGACUGAGACACGGCCCAAACUCCUACGGAAGGCAGCAG